UCGAGCGAACAGACGAGGAGCUUGCUCCUCUGACGUUAGCGGCGGACGGGUGAGUAACACGUGGAUAACCUACCUAUAAGACUGGGAUAACUUCGGGAAACCGGAGCUAAUACCGGAUAAUAUAUUGAACCGCAUGGUUCAAUAGUGAAAGACGGUUUUGCUGUCACUUAUAGAUGGAUCCGCGUCGCAUUAGCUAGUUGGUAAGGUAACGGCUUACCAAGGCAACGAUGCGUAGCCGACCUGAGAGGGUGAUCGGCCACACUGGAACUGAGACACGGUCCAGACUCCUACGGGAGGCAGCAGUAGGGAAUCUUCCGCAAUGGGCGAAAGCCUGACGGAGCAACGCCGCGUGAGUGAUGAAGGUCUUCGGAUCGUAAAACUCUGUUAUUAGGGAAGAACAAAUGUGUAAGUAACUAUGCACGUCUUGACGGUACCUAAUCAGAAAGCCACGGCUAACUACGUGCCAGCAGCCGCGGUAAUACGUAGGUGGCAAGCGUUAUCCGGAAUUAUUGGGCGUAAAGCGCGCGUAGGCGGUUUUUUAAGUCUGAUGUGAAAGCCCACGGCUCAACCGUGGAGGGUCAUUGGAAACUGAAAAACUUGAGUGCAGAAGAGGAAAGUGGAAUUCCAUGUGUAGCGGUGAAAUGCGCAGAGAUAUGGAGGAACACCAGUGGCGAAGGCGACUUUCUGGUCUGUAACUGACGCUGAUGUGCGAAAGCGUGGGGAUCAAACA
rnacentral:rRNA from 1 species